rnacentral:rRNA from 1 species
GACGAACGCUGGCGGCGUGCUUAACACAUGCAAGUCGAACGGUGAACUCCGCUUGCGGGGGGAUCAGUGGCGAACGGGUGAGUAACACGUGGGCAACCUGCCCUCAGCUCUGGGAUAACUCCAAGAAAUUGGGGCUAAUACCGGAUAUGACCGCUGACCGCAUGGUCUGGUGGUGGAAAGAUUUAUCGGCUGGGGAUGGGCCCGCGGCCUAUAAGCUUGUUGGUGGGGUAGUGGCCUACCAAGGCGACGACGGGUAGCCGGCCUGAGAGGGUGACCGGCCACACUGGGACUGAGACACGGCCCAGACUCCUACGGGAGGCAGCAGUGGGGAAUAUUGCGCAAUGGGCGAAAGCCUGACGCAGCGACGCCGCGUGGGGGAUGACGGCCUUCGGGUUGUAAACCUCUUUCAGCAGGGACGAAGCGAAAGUGACGGUACCUGCAGAAGAAGCACCGGCCAACUACGUG